UUUUUAUUGCAGCGACCAAAAAGAAGACUGAGGUUGCUGGCACUGGGGGAGGGCCACCACCAGCCAGCUUCACUCCUGCAGAGGAGCUGGCUUUGGAAAUUAAUAAAGGGAGGCCCGUCCUUGAAGGAAUAGAGGGGGGGACAUCAUCUAAAAUGAUAUCACGUAGUAUAAGGAGUGAGUAUACAAAAGGUGUGUGUGUGUGUGUGUGUGUGUGUGUUUUAUUAUCAUCAUUCCUUCCUGACUAACUGAUUUCCUCCUUCCUUAGGCAUUGUAAGCCUAAGUACAUCAUAGCAGUAAUGUCACGUAGAGGUACUUGUGCUAUUGUAAUGCUGCAUUUUGGUAAAAAAAGUGUAUAUUUUUUCUAUCAAGAUUCUGUAUGCAUUAUGGAUCCACCAGACAUCAUGUUGCCUGAUGCUGACACUGUUCUAGAGCCCUCUCAGUCUGGGACCACAUGUGACAAAGUGAGUAUUAAGAAAUGAAAACAAUGUGACAA